rnacentral:lncRNA from 1 species
AGCAGUGAUAUAUACAGAGGGAGGAGAGGGUGAUUUCUUAAAGUUAUAUAUAACCAUCUACUGAAGCGAGCUGAUUCAACGACUAACCUAUGGAUUUCAAUGUAUGUUCUUCAUAUUUGGGCGAUUUUAAUGUCAAAAAUGUUUUAAUUUUCACUGUUUUGACAUGCCUGCUAUGUGUUUGAUGAAUGUUUCUUAAAGUAUUUCAAUGCCUGCUAUGGAUUUCAAUGUAUGUUCUUUCAUAUUUGGCCGAUUUCUUAAAGUGAUAUAUGCCUGCUAUGUGUUUUGACAUGCCUGUGUUAAUCUAUGUCCUGCUAUGUGUUUGUUGUAUGUUUCGCAAGAAUUCAAAGACAGCUGACACAGAUUCUUAUCAAACUGAUAUCAUACUGUAUGGUGCUCAAUUGCAGACCUCACGCCAAGCAGCAAUGUAUAUGUAUUAAUUUGAAAGAAAUAUAAGCUGUAAAUGAAAAGAAUCAGUACUGUUAGGAUAGCAUUAACUAUGAAAACACCUCUAAUAUCUUGAUAUAAUUAUGGUCUCUCAUUCGAAUAUAAUUAUGCUCUUAUCAUCUGGGGGAACACAAAAAAAUUAAAACAAUAAUAAAACAAUGCUUAACUUUUAUCUUGCUCCGAAGUAUGAAUUUCUUGACUAGUUUUCUCCGUAAUCCGCCUUUCGGGCUCCUGCCAUUUUACAGUAUGUUUUUUUACUUUGUAUUAUUAGCCUGUGCUCAAGAUUGCAGUCUCAAUAUGUGCUCCUAGCUUGACUUAUAUUUGGAUGUAUUAUCAGAUUACAUCUUAGUUUUUGAUAUUUGUAAAAUGAUAGAAAUUCCUAUAAAUUUUAACAACAGGACUCCUUAUAAUUCCGUGCACUGUUUCUGUUUCUUGAGAUCACAGAAGUUUAAUUCAUGACAAUUUUUUAGAUUUUUGGAGGCAGAUGAGUAAAUAUUGUCAUGACCGACCAAUAUACCGAUUUUUAAACUCUGCCGAUUAUUAUUUUGUACUGCACCCCUGCAGGCUGCAGCUGCUUAUAAACAAAAGGCUUCUUGAUCUAAUGCACCAGAAGUGAAACAAAAGGAUUUUUAAUGACCUAGCUAGCGUUACACUACUUGAAAGUGUUGAGAACUUAUUUCCGCGCACACAUACAUUGCUUUUGUUAUUAGCAUGAUUAAUAUUGACAGGAUAUGACUAUCUCUUUAUUAUGUAUUAUUAUAUGUCUUUGGAUGGCUAAUUAAUUAUGAGAAUUGACAUUAGCAUAUUAAGACAUGAUUUAUCGGUGAAUAAUAUACAUGCUAUUUUAUUAUAUUAUUGGUUAUUGGAUUUACAUGAUACUAUUAUAUACCAUUCUGCGGGAAUCGUAGUAUUUGUAUUGUGUUAAUUUAAUUAGUUUCUAUCUAAGGUUAGUAUGAUGUGCUGACUUUGUAUUUCCUUGUUUUUGUUCACAGGCUAUUAUUAGAGACCAGGGACCUCGUGAUCCUAGCCUUCUUCACCUACAGGCCACUCAUAGGUCUCGUUCUGUCUGGAGAACUGGUGCUGCGCCCUCGCAGUAUUUCAGGCGUC